UUGGCUCAGGAUGAACGCUGGCGGCGCGUCUUAAGCAUGCAAGUCGAGCGGGAUUGGGUAGCUUGCUACUCAUGAGAGCGGCGGACUGGUGAGUAACGCGUGGGUGACGUACCCUUUAGACGGGGAUAGCUCCUAGAAAUAGGAGGUAAUACCGGAUACGAUAGUGAGUGUCAGAGGCUCAUUAUGAAAGGUUCUUUUGAACCGCUGAAGGAGCGGCCCGCGUACUAUUAGCUUGUUGGUGAGGUAACGGCCCACCAAGGCGACGAUAGUUAUCCGGCCUGAGAGGGUAAACGGACACAUUGGGACUGAGAUACGGCCCAGACUCCUACGGGAGGCAGCAGUGGGGAAUA
rnacentral:rRNA from 1 species